rnacentral:lncRNA from 1 species
GCCAAACCUGAACACGUGCGAGAAGUCUCUUCGCUUCUUCCCGCUCGCCGCCCUUGCUUGGCUCUCAGGAGACACCUCUAGCUUUCGAGAGGGCCCGGCCCGCAAGUCCACGCUGCUCGUACCGGGCCCUCGCUCUGAGGAGCUGCCGCUCUCUUCGCAGACUGCGCCUCUCUCGCCUUGCCUCGGAGACAGGCAGGAAGCGCGGCUGUCGCUGCGCCGCCGCAUCCACGCGCCUCCCGUUGACGAUCCAGAUGCCUCCGCACUCCUUCGCCGCUGGUGAUUGUGGCUGAUCGAGAAGAGGCUCUUUUUUCGGCCGCGCUCCUCUGCCUCGCCUUUCACCCUGCUCGAACCCGCUUUGCUCGAAUCCGACAGGACAUCGGGAGAUCCUACCCAGCGAAACACACACACACACGCACCCCCAAGGAACACCCGGCAGAGAGAACGGUCUGUCCCUGAAGCGACAAGCGGAAACGACUUGCGAUUGGCCCACCCGUCCACCGUGCGCUACGAGUCUUCCUACAGAGAGCUGGCUGUACUCAAUAUCUGCAGAGAGCUUGCGAGAGAGAGGGCGAUCGCAAGAGAAAAGACGCGAUGUGAGUCAAAAACGUGAGAGGUCGGACCUCCGGCGGUUGCCUCCCAAGUCCUCCGUUCUUCCCUGCCCAUCUCGCGUCCUGUCACACUAUCCAUGCGACGGACCCAAAUGCAGUGGCCGUCCUCUGACUCGUUGUUGUCCCCUCCCCUCCCUGUACCUUGCGUGAGGGACCCCCCGGGGUUUGUGUGGCUUCCUGGCCCUGAGGGACGAGCGGCGGGGUUGGGGAUUUCGCGCCCCGCUCCGUCGCGGUAGACGCCGACGCCCGGCACCUGGCGCCCUUCCCUCCACUCCCCUUCGAACGACCUUCCAUCUGGCCAGGUCAGACGGCCUGGCGAGAGCAGAGAGAAAACGCAGUCGGAGAGGAGCACCCAGUGAGGCCAGAAAGCGAGGUCCGCAGAAGGCAGCGGGGAGCGGAACGAGGAAACAGGAGAGGUCCAACUGAGACACGACAAACGCAGAGAAAGCGAAAGCGCCGGGGCGCUCGAGGAGGCCGAAGAGCGGAAGGAACUAUGGAGCAGUGGAAAGGCAACCGAGGUAUGUGCAGCCAGGGAAUGAGUGAUGGGGAAGAGAACGAAGGGCUGGGGGACUGAGGGAGGAGAUACACGAAGGAGAGGGAGACACAAAUCUUUCCCCAGGCACGCCAGGAAGGACGCGAGGGACGAGAGGGGAGAGCUCGAGAUCUCCGGGGGAAGAGGCAGGACACGAAGAAAGCGCAGCAAGAGACGCAGGCAAACGAGACCAAGAGAGCAAGACCGGCUGUAUGGACACACGAAAACUUUGAGAGAACAUGGGAGGUGCUCCAGCGAGAGAGGCGAGCUGGAACUGCGAGGGAAGCGAAGGGCGACGCAGAACCUCACAGAAUCCAUCGAGAGAAUUACCUUUUCCGUGUUUGCGAUCGUCGGCGUAGUCGCCUUCAUGCAUGCGGCCAUCAGGGAACGUCAUUCGCCCUUUCCCAUGCAUGUGGUUUCUGAACCACUGUCCUGAGAGACCCGAAGCAAACAGCA